UGGGGAAUAUUGGACAAUGGGGGCAACCCUGAUCCAGCCAUGCCGCGUGAGUGGUGAAGGCCUUCGGGUUGUAAAGCUCUUUUGGCGGGGACGAUGAUGACGGUACCCGCAGAAUAAGCCCCGGCUAACUUCGUGCCAGCAGCCGCGGUAAGACGAAGGGGGCAAGCGUUGUUCGGAAUUACUGGGCGUAAAGGGCGCGUAGGCGGUUUGCUUAGUCAGGCGUGAAAGCCCUGGGCUUAACCUGGGAUGUGCGCUUGAUACUGGCAGGCUUGAGUGUGGGAGAGGUUGGUGGAAUUCCCAGUGUAGAGGUGAAAUUCGUAGAUAUUGGGAAGAACACCGGUGGCGAAGGCGGCCAACUGGACCACAACUGACGCUGAGGCGCGAAAGCGUGGGGAGCAAACA
rnacentral:rRNA from 1 species